ensembl:lncRNA
GGUCAUCUUUAUCGUCAUCAUUGUCAUCCUCACCAUUGUUGGUCAUUGUCACUGUUGGUCAUGGUCAUUGUCAUCCUCACCAUCAUUGGUCAUUGUCACUGUCACCACUGUCAGUCUUUGUCAUCGUUGGUCAUCAUCAUCCUCAUCCUCAUUGGUCAUUGUCACUGUCACCAUCAUCGGUCAUUGCUGGUCUUCAUCAUCCUCAUCCUCACCAUCGCUGGUCAUGGUCAUCAUUGGCCAUGGUCAUCGUCAUCCUCACCAUUGGCCAUCAUCAUCCUCACUGUCACCAUCGUUGGUCAUCGUCACCGUGGCCAUCGUUGGCCAUCCUCAUCCUCACCAUGGCUGGUUAUGGUCAUCAUCAUCAUCAUCAUCAUCAUCAUCAUCACCAUGGUUGGUCAUCAUUGGUCAUCAUCGUCGUCACCAUCAUCGGUCACUGUCAUCGUUGGUCAUCAUCAUCAUCGCCAUCGUUGGCCAUCGUCAUCCUCACCAUGGUUGGUCAUCGUUGGCCAUCCUCAUCCUCACCAUGGCUGGUCAUGGUCAUCAUCCUCAUCCUCAUCCUCACCAUGGUUGGUCAUGGUUGGUCAUCCUCACAGUGGCCAUCGUUGGUCAUGGUCAUCCUCAUCAUCAUCCUCAUCCUCACCAUGGUUGCCCAUCGUUGGUCAUCGUCACCGUGGCCAUCGUUGCCCAUCCUCACUGUCACCGUCGCCGUCACCACCGCGGCCGCCGCCCUCCCAGAGCCGGGAACGCCGGGAGCGCCAGGAGCCGGCUCCGGCCGCCCCGACAUUCCCAAAAAUCCGCGGGAAUUCCCGGUUUUCCCUCCCGCCCCCGUCCCGGGGCCGAGCGCGAGGAGGACCCGGAAUAACGGAGGAGUCGCGGGAUCGGGAUCUGGAGUUUGUGGUGGGGAAC